rfam:Pteropus alecto contig39640, whole genome shotgun sequence.
CUGGCCUGGCUGGGAGGCGGCCUGGGAAGGGACCUGUUUCUCAAGCCCCUGCCCUCGGGGCCUGGGGGUGGGCCGCAGAUGUGCGGGUUGGUAGCCAGGGCCCGAGCCGGAUGCCGAGAGCGAGGCCUGCAACUCAUUUCCCCAUUCAGCAUUCUGAGAACAUCUGCAGCGGCUCCCAAGCCUUCUCCCUCGCUAAUUGCUCUGAUUAUUGUGUGAGUUCAGAACUGGCACAUUUCCGCGGCGUCGCGAUGAAGGUGAAGAGAUCGCUCUUAAUUAGAUUAAAAACAUUUUUUUCUCCCUCUGUAAUUUCUCCUUGAAAAUCAAGGCCGCUUUUUUGUUUUCUUCAUCCAAAGACCUCCAGAAACUUUCCUCCCACCUCUCCAGGGGUUUCUUGGGAACGUCCUGUGAGCUCAGCUCUUGGAGGAGACAGCACUUGACCCAGAUUCCACCGCGU